UUCAGCUUUCAUUUCCGGCAUUGAUAUUGGGUGAAUAUGAUUCCUAUGUAGUACACAUAAUUGGCUGCUUUCCUGUGAGCUGUGAAAGUGGUUGUGCUAUUGAAUGGCACUGAUUGUGUCCCUGUUGAGUUCUACAGCAUUGUGACUGUUACAGGAAACUUGAUGAACAGGAAGUGCCUGAACAGAAUUGCUGUCUGCUUCGUAGCCCUGAAGGGUCAGAGACUGAAAAAUCAGAGAUGGCCCUGAUAAGUCUCAGCCUUCCAACCUGGGCAGCCCUUCUACUGGAAGUCUUACUUCCCUGCUCAGCAGAAAUCAAAAGAAUGUCUCAUUAUGGUGUUGCAUUCGAGAAUCGGAAUCACCAAGAGAGAGCUGGACACCGAUGCAAAUCACAUGAGGGCAUUUAUUCAGGCUCGAACCAAGGCUGUCGGCCUUCCCCCAGACGCAGCUGAAAUUUCAGAGUCAUCUCUGAUUCCAUGGCAGCCCCCACAUGAUAGAGUGGUGAAUUAAUUGUCAAACGUGGAAGAAAGGAUACUGAAAGUUGAGCAGAAAUGGCAACAUUUUGGAGUAAAUAACCAAUGGAACAAAUGUGUGUUCUGCCUGCCGCCCUAACUGGUGCUCAUUUUUUUUUAUCUUUUCAGUGGGAUUUAUUUACGUUUAAGUAAAAGUAGCAAAUGUUACAUAAGUUAUUUCUUUAAGAACAUUUAAUUUAUACAACUACAUUGUUAUCAAGCAACAUUUAUGGAAUGUGCCCUGGAUCUGGGAUAUUGAACUUUGUAACUAUUGUAGCAUUCUCUUUUCCAAGUUUAAACAUGACCUUGUGCAGUGAAGAAGCAUGGCUUCUCAUUGUAGAGUUAUCAUGUAUGACAACCUGACCUGCAGGAAGGCUUUGGGUGUUUAAUCUUCUAUUGAUUUACAAAAUGAUUUGUGUGUGUGAUUAUUCAA